rnacentral:lncRNA from 10 species
CCGGCAGCCGCCCCGUAUGAGAAGAAGAGCGUGUGCAUUCAAACUUGUUCAUUCAUUAAUUUGAGUUGAAGGGAGGGGGACGUCCUUGGUGGAAAAGUUAAAGAAAGUGCUCUGGAUGAGAAAUUCACAGGGAGACAUAAGACAACAGCUCAGAGUGGAAGAAAUAGAUGUUCUCAGGAAGAGGCUGUAUGCUGUCCUGGUUUCGAGCAUCUGCCCUACAGUCAGAAUGCCUGCAUUUGAAAUAAGUUUCUGCCACGAACUAGCUGUAAGACCGUGGGUGAGUUAUUCAACCUUUCAGCACCUCAUCUCCUAAAAUGGGGAUAAUGUUUUCUUCCCCAAAGACUUGUGGGGAGGGACCAAAAAUUAAAUGGAUUAUUGAAUGUAAAGUGCUUAGACCAUUGGCCAACAGUUCGUCAGUGCCCUAUAACUGUUGCCUGUUUAGCAUGUCAUAAACACAUGACUCGCAUACAUUACAUUAAAAUAGAGCAGAGUAUUUAAGUCCAGGGAAAGGAAACUAUUAUCAGAUGACUGCUCUCUUCCAGGCACUGUAACACUAUUUUCUCAUGAUCCUCUCUUUAAUCUUUGCAAUAACUCACAAGGUAGGUUUUACCAGUUGCAGUUUCCUGAGGAGGAAACCAAAGCUGGGAAUUAUUUUAUCCUCAAAGUGGCAAUAAGUUGUUGGCCACAACCGGGAUAUUCCGCUUUUCUCCUCACAUUUAGAAAUGUCAUGUGGCUGUGAGUCACCUUGUGAGGAUCUUGUCACAUCCUUAGACUGUACUGCCAACACUGAAAAUGCACUGUGGCUGACCCGUUUAAGCAAAGCCAGGCUGCAAUUUUCCUGUGGAUUCCCAUUCCAGCAGUUAGGCUGGGCUCUCCUAUGAUUUUGCUACCACUGCGAUUUUGCUGUGUGGCUACUUUAGAGACUAGAGACUGCCUAAUGUGAGCAAUAGGUGAUCUAACGGACAAUCAUUAUUGGUUGACUCAGCAUCUAUCAGUUGACUAAAGUUGCCUUUAGU